rnacentral:rRNA from 1 species
CCUACGGGGGGCUGCAGUGGGGAAUAUUGCACAAUGGGCGAAAGCCUGAUGCAGCAACGCCGCGUGAGCGAUGAAGGCCAUCGGGACGUAAAGCUCUGUCCUAAGGGAAGAAUACUGACGGUACCAUAGGAGGAAGCCCCGGCUAACUACGUGCGAGAGGCAGCGGUAAUACGUCGGGGGCUAGCGUUAUCCGGAAUUCCUUGGCUUAAAGGGUGCGUAGGCGGCCCUUCAAGUCAGAGGUGAAAGGCUCGGUCUCAACCGGAGUAAGCCUUUGAAAAUGUAGUGGUUGAGUGCAGGAGAGGAGAGUGGAAUUCCCAGUGUAGCGGUGAAAUUCGUAGAUAUGGGGAGGAACACCAGUUGCGAAGGCGGCUCUCUGGACUGUAACUGACGCGGAGGCACGAAAGCGUGAGGAGCGAACAGGAUUAGAUAUCCCAGUAGUC